UACGUAGGUGGCAAGCGUUAUCCGGGUUUACUGGGUGUAAAGGGCGUGUAGGCGGGACUGCAAGUCAGAUGUGAAAAUUAUGGGCUCAACCCAUAACCUGCAUUUGAAACUGUAGUUCUUGAGUGAUGGAGAGGCAGGCGGAAUUCCGUGUGUAGCGGUGAAAUGCGUAGAUAUACGGAGGAACACCAGUGGCGAAGGCGGCCUGCUGGACAUUAACUGACGCUGAGGCGCGAAAGCGUGGGGAGCAAACAGG
rnacentral:rRNA from 1 species